rnacentral:rRNA from 1 species
GAUGAACGCUGGCGGCGUGCCUAAUACAUGCAAGUCGAACGCGCAGCGAGAGGUGCUUGCACCUUUCAAGCGAGUGGCGAACGGGUGAGUAACACGUGGAUAACCUGCCUCAAGGCUGGGGAUAACAUUUGGAAACAGAUGCUAAUACCGAAUAAAACUUAGUAUCGCAUGAUAUCAAGUUAAAAGGCGCUACGGCGUCACCUAGAGAUGGAUCCGCGGUGCAUUAGUUAGUUGGGGGGGUAAAGGCUUACCAAGACAAUGAUGCAUAGCCAAGUUGAGAGACUGAUCGGCCACAUUGGGACUGAAACACGGCCCAAACUCCUACGGGAGGCUGCAGUAGGGAAUCUUCCACAAUGGGCGCAAGCCUGAUGGAGCAACGCCGCGUGUGUGAUGAAGGCUUUCGGGUCGUAAAGCACUGUUGUAUGGAAAGAAAUGCUAAAAUAGGGAAUGAUUUUAGUUUGACGGUACCAUACCAAAAAGGGACGGCUAAAUACGUG